rnacentral:rRNA from 1 species
CCUACGGGGGGCAGCAGUGGGGAAUUUUGCGCAAUGGGCGCAAGCCUGACGAAGCAACGCCGCGUGGAGGAUGAAGGUCUUCGGAUUGUAAACUCCUGUCGACCGGGACGAAUGCACCCAACCUAAUACGUUGAAGUGUUGACGGUACCGGUGGAGGAAGCCACGGCUAACUCUGUGCCAGCAGCCGCGGUAAUACAGAGGUGGCAAGCGUUGUUCGGAAUUACUGGGCGUAAAGGGCGCGUAGGCGGCCCUAUAAGUCUCGUGUGAAAGCCCUCGGCUUAACUGAGGAUCUGCACGGGAUACUGUAGGGCUCGAGUUCGGGAGAGGAAAGCGGAAUUCCGGGUGUAGCGGUGAAAUGCGUAGAUAUCCGGAGGAACACCAGUGGCGAAGGCGGCUUUCUGGACCGACACUGACGCUGAGGCGCGAAAGCUAGGGGAGCAAACGGGAUUAGAUACCCCUGUAGUC